rnacentral:tmRNA from 1 species
GGGGGCGACUAUGGUUUCGACGUUCUUUACGAAGCUAAUGGUGCAUGCCGAGCAAUGCUGAAUAUCUCGUUAAAAGGGUCAGUACUUAAAGUAAAUGCAAAUCAAAAGAGAAGCGUUGAAGCAAUAGCUGCUUAAGCUUAUUGUUUCCUUUCAGUAUGAGAUUGUCUAUUGUCUCACUCUGAGAGUCAUAUUUAGAUAGAAUCGCUUAUAUGCCUUCUCCGUAUAUAAGUUAAACUUAGAGAUCGCUCAUACGAUGGUAUGGCUGCUGAUCUUGUAUGGGUUAAACCAAACAGCAGUACUAAGCAUGUAGAGCUAGAGGCCUAGACUGUGCGGACGCGGGUUCGACUCCCGCCGCCUCCACUG